rnacentral:rRNA from 1 species
UACCAGCUCUCCGAGUAGUGUGGAUGUUUAUUGGGCCUAAAGCAUCCGUAGCUUGCUAAGCAAGUCCCCUGUUAAAUCCACCGAUUUAAUCGUUGGAUUGCGGGGGGUACUGUUUGGCUAGGGGACGGGAGAGGCCGACGGUAUUUCCGGGGUAGGGGUGAAAUCCUAUAAUCCCGGGAAGACCACCAGUGGCGAAGGCUGUCGGCUAGAACGCGCCCGACGGUGAGGGAUGAAAGCUGGGGGAGCGAACCGGAUUAGAUACCCGGGUAGUCCCAGCUGUAAACGAUGCAGGCUAGGUGUUUGGGCGGCCACGAGCCGCCCUAGUGCCGCAGGGAAGCUGUUAAGCCUGCCGCCUGGGGAGUACGGCCGCAAGGCUGAAACUUAAAGGAAUUGGCGGGGGAGCACCACAAGGGGUGAAGCUUGCGGUUU